GCGUAGAGCAGGAAUAAUGGCUGUUUCAUCCUGCUGCCCGUCCUCUGUCCCCAUAUCCCUUCCUGCUGCUCUACCUAACAUGACUUUGAAGGGAACCGUGAGCAGGGCGGACUGAGCCUGGUUUCUAAAGAAGGUGGGCGAAGAGCGGAGGGGCUUGGUGUUUCCCCCGACCUUAGGCUGAGGGGUCCACACGGUCCAGCGAGGCUGUCCCCAGGCGCUACCCGGAGAUCGGAAACCAGGACCCAAGUUCAAGGACACACGGUUCAAAGCAGCGAGGUCCCCGCAGCAGCGGGUCGGCGAGGGCUCAGAGGCAGGUCAGGUGCUGGGCCCGUGGAUUCACAGAAAGCAGAAUAGCAGGGCCUCGCCGGACUCCAGCGUCCUUUUGACCAGCAAUGACACAAAGGACCUGAAACGCUGCACCUCUAAGAGGCUCCUCUUCCGGAGCCCUUGCCCUCGCACGCACGGUGGGAGAUGAAGGCCGAAGAGCUGUCUAUGCUAAUAAACGCCCAAAUUACAACCCCAGCUCCUCACCAGCUGGACUUCCAGGAACCCCUGCAGGUUGUCCCUGGCUCUGUGGUGGGUGGAUUCCAAGAGGCUGUCCCAUGUCAUUUCGGACCCUGGACCACUCCUGGACUUCCCUCCUGCCCCACAUGGUGGGAUGUCGCUGCUGCUCUCCACAGCCCCCUGGAAUUUCUGUCCCUCCCUCAAGGAAAGGCCGGAGGGACCCUUUCCCAGUCACCUAGCAAUCUCUAAGCUCUUGAUCCCCACCCAGCCCUCCCUUGUCUCCCCUGGGAGUCUUUAUGUAGUAGGGAUGGGGGGGUGGUGAGUCGGAAACC